rnacentral:rRNA from 1 species
GGACAGAACUGUGGGGACGCAGAAGGAGAGCACGAGCCGGAAAUGGAAAAGCCGGUACAAGCGUAUAGCAGUCAUGCAGGCAAAACCGCAUGAAAAAUGUAAAGCGUUAUGUGGAUCGAACAUUAGUAGAGAAGCGUGUGAGCCAGCUGCCAAGAAAAGCCGCUAUUGCUUCAUAAGUACCCGUACCGUAAACCGACACAGGUGGAUGAGGAGAGAAUCCUAAGGCCGGCGGGAGAAGUGUUGUUAAGGAACUCGGCAGAAUGACUCCGUAACUUCGGGAGAAGGAGUGCCACAGAGAUGUGGCCGCAGAGAAAUGGCCCAAGCAACUGUUUAGCAAAAACACAGGUCUAUGCAAAACCGAAAGGUGAGGUAUAUGGGCUGACGCCUGCCCGGUGCUGGAAGGUUAAGAGGAGAGGUUAGAGCAAUCGAAGCUUUGAAUUUAAGCCCCAGUAAACGGCGGCCGUAACAAUAACGGUCCUAAGGUAGCGAAAUUCCUUGUCGGGUAAGUUCCGACCCGCACGAAAGGCGUAAUGAUUUGGGCACUGUCUCAACAACACACCCGGUGAAAUUGAAAUACCAGUGAAGAUGCUGGUUACCUGCGCCAGGACGGAAAGACCCCAUGGAGCUUUACUCCAGUUUGAUACUGGGAUUCGGUACUGUCUGUACAGGAUAGGUGGGAGGCUAGGAAAUGGUGACGCCAGUUGCCAUGGAGCCAACCUUGGGAUACCACCCUUACAGUACUGGGUUUCUAACCUGCAGCCGUAACCCGGCUGGGGGACAAUGUCUGACGGGGAGUUUGACUGGGCGGUCGCCUCCGAAAGAGUAUCGGAGGCGCUCAAAGGUUCCCUCAGAACGGUUGGAAACCGUUCGAAGAGUGCAAAGGCAGAAGGGAGCUUGACUGCGACACCGACGGGUGGAGCAGAUACGAAAGUAGGACUUAGUGAUCCGGUGGUAUAAAGUGGGAUUGCCAUCGCUCAACGGAUAAAAGCUACCCUGGGAUAACAGGCUUAUCACUCCCAAGAGUUCACAUCGACGGAGUGGUUUGGCACCUCGAUGUCGGCACAUCGCAUCCUGGAGCUGUAGCAGGUUCCAAGGGUUGGGCUGUUCGCCCAUUAAAGCGGUACGCGAGCUGGGUUCAGAACGUCGUGAGACAGUUCGGUCCCUAUCCGGCGUGGGCGUAGGAUAUUUGAGAGGAGCUGUCCUUAGUACGAGAGGACCGGGAUGGACAAACCUCUGGUGUAUCUGUUGUUUUUACCAAAGGCAUGGCAGAGUAGCCAAGUUUGGCAGGGAUAAACGCUGAAGGCAUCUAAGCGUGAAGCCCCCCUCAAGAUAAGAUAUCCCAUCUUCGGAGUAAGACCCCUUGAAGACUACAAGGUUGAUAGGCUUUGUGUGUAAGUGCGGUAACGCACUCAGCUGAGAAGUACUAAUAGGUCGAGGACUUAGC